rnacentral:rRNA from 1 species
UGCGCAGGCGGAAUGAUAAGUCAGUGGUGAAAUCCUACGGCUCAACCGUAGAACUGCCAUUGAUACUGUUGUUCUUGAGUACAGUUGUAGUGGGCGGAAUAUGUCAUGUAGCGGUGAAAUGCAUAGAUAUGACAUAGAACACCGAUCGCGAAGGCAGCUCACUAAGCUGAAACUGACGCUCAGGCACGAAAGCGUGGGGAGCAAACAGGAUUAGAUACCCUGGUAGUCC